AUUGAACGCUGGCGGCAUGCUUUACACAUGCAAGUCGAACGGCAGCGCGGGGCAACCUGGCGGCGAGUGGCGAACGGGUGAGUAAUACAUCGGAACGUACCCAGAAGUGGGGGAUAACGUAGCGAAAGUUACGCUAAUACCGCAUACGUUCUACGGAAGAAGGUGGGGGACUUUCGGGCCUCAUGCUUUUGGAGCGGCCGAUGUCUGAUUAGCUAGUUGGUGAGGUAAAGGCUCACCAAGGCGACGAUCAGUAGCUGGUCUGAGAGGACGACCCGCGACACUGGGGCUGUGACACGGCCCAGACUCCUACGGGAGGCAGCAGUGGGGAAUAUUGGACAAUGGGCGCAAGCCUGAUCCCGCAAUGCCGCGUGAGGGAAGAAGGCCUUCGGGUUGUAAAGCUCUUUUGUCGGGGAAGAAACGGCUGAGGUUAAUACCUUCGGCUAAUGACGGUACCUGAAGAAUAAGCACCGGCUAACUACGUGCCAGCAGCCGCAGUAAAAC
rnacentral:rRNA from 1 species